rnacentral:snoRNA from 1 species
GUUGUUAGAGCUUGGAGCUGAGGCAACUGGCAGGUCGAUGAAUGCUCAAGUGUAGGUUGACUUUUUUUUCAAACUUUUCACUAAUAACACAAGAGUCUCUAGGAGUUAAAAUAAAUUAAUUUGGGAGGAGG